UGGGAGGGAACUCCCCCUUCUGUCACUGGACUGUACAAGAGAGGGGAGGGAAAGAGAAGAAAGAAAAAACUACCGUCUUCUGUCCACCAUUUUAAAGAGAGGAAAGGGGACUCCUCUGCUGCUCUCCUGUCUCCCUAUUCCAAAGGGAAAAGGCAAGAGAUCAGGCUGUUUCCUCACUGCAUUAGAUGGGAGAGGAAGCAGGAUAGGAAGAGGGCAGGAAGCAGCCAACAAAAGUUACACAGAUGCAAGGGCCCUUCACCUGCCGGCACAUCACCCUCCUAAUUCUCAUGGAAGAACUUAUUCCUUAUGCUCUGCAGGAUUAAGGUCUUCUGCGUUCAUUUGAACUACAUCAGCAUGCACACAGCAAUGUACACAGAGACCAACAGAAAGACCAGCUGUCAUGAUAUUCCAUUAGAAGUGUCCUAAGGUGUCAGGUGUCACACGGGAUUGAGUGGUGUCAGCCCUUUUUGUUUCAUGUCGGGACUGCAAUAGCGAUGAAAGAACUAAAAAAAAAAGAUCCUGUAGUGCUGGAACGCRCUACCUUGAAGCCUGCAGGCAACCACAGGAAGCUGGCUGUGGUCUGCACAACAUGGUAAUACCUUCUGGAAAAGCAGGAAAGGUGGUUACUGCUGCUGCUGAUAGAAACGUUGUCACCUUGUGAAUCCCAUUUGUACACUCUGUUUAGACUAAUCAUACAAAUUUAAGAGUAAUUCAAAAAUUCAAUGGUAUUUGGAAGCUAGUUAUGGAAGCAUUUGCAUGCCUUUCCUAAAUACUGUACCCAGGACAUACUUGCCAUGGAAAAAUGUAACCGAAAGUAUUAUUGGUAGAGCUCACAUACUGAGCUCUACCAGUAAUUAUGUGUAACAUAAUAUGUACAAGAUUUUGCACAAAGAUAUGCAGUCACUCUCAGGAAUCUGAAAUCCUUUUCCUUUGAUUUUCCUGUGGCUGAUAAAAAGUUGAGAAUUUAUGUGGACACAAUGUAAAUCAGCCUUAAGGGCAAAGUUUGUAUGCUGGUUUAAGAAGUAUUUAAAAUAAUAUAUACAUCUAUUGUGUGGCCAGCUUCCACAGAGAUGCUGCUUAUUAGCAGCAGUUUUAAAGCAGUCUUUUGGUUUGAUGACAUUACACUUUUCUCUGAUUAUUUUUAGGCAAUACAUUUGAUACAGGUGGUUAAAUUGCUUGUGAAUAUUUGAUAAAUAAUACCUUAUUACAAUAGAAGUGAUAAACCAAAUACUUUUUUUGGCUCAAGCACAUAUGUUAGACUUCUAGGACAUAGACAUAAAAAGUCUUAAUACUCCUCUGGGUUGCCUCAGAGCAGUGCAUUAACAGAUUUGAUAACACUGGAAACCACACAAGUAAGUCAUCAUUGGUAACUCCAAGACAACAACAAGCUGCUGUUGUAGCCAAAAUAUAGCUGAUGUAGUUUUGAGUUUUCUUGUCACUAAGUUUGUAGUAUUAGUUGUGAGAAAAUACAUUUGUAAACAGCACAGAGGAGCAGCAGGGAGCAGAGACACCAUAAACUGUCAGUAUGAUCAUUCCCAGCAGAGCACUACACAGCUACUGAAAGUUUCCUUUCCUGGCUUCUUAUACUUCUGAUUGUCAGCUUUGYUUUUUUUUUUGCUAUUUUUUUCCUUUCAGUCAUGAUCUGAGGGACUGCAUUGUAUCUGGAAUUGGAGUGACCAAACUUGGAGAUUUCACAGAAUCACAUCACAUUGCAAUCCUGACAGCUGCUUUUAAUUGCAGAUAAUGUGGCUGCAUUUUAAAAUAGAAAAAUAGGACAAGCAGUUACAGCACUUGCGUUUACUAUCUUUUUGCCAGAUGAGGCAAUUAGUUUUUUAUUAUUUUAUACUGUCCAAGAAUGUCUUAGAAAGUUAGCAAAACAUAUGGAUAUGCAUUGAGCAGUUCCAGAUUCUACUAAGGAAAUCAUAUGAUUGCAGUUUUACAGUCAACAUUUAGUCACGCGUUUGCUUGCAGUCUUUCAGAGGUAGAAAGAAAGCAAGCAGUGAAAGGAAAUAGAUAAGCCUAGGAAGGAAGAGGACAGCACCAGAGGUCCAAGUCUGAUUAAGGGAAAAUCUGGUGUUUCCUUUUCCUUCCACUAGUUAAUAACUAAUGCUGCAAAUUUAUUUAGUGGAAAUUGUAAAUAUGCUACUGGUGUUUUGAGUUCAUCUUUAGCAAUGCAGCCCAGAUUUUGACUGCACACUGCAAUUAGAUGCACAGAGUUAAUACUUUAAGUCUAAGGAGUAAAGCCCAUAAGAAGCCCUGAAUUUUUUUAUUUCAGUUCAAUAUGGGUUCAGCCCUCAGUGAAGUUCUUCCAGUUCAGUUCUGAUCCAAGUUCAAGAAAACUUCAGAARGAUGGUUUGGUUCUAUUCCAUUUUUAAGGACAAAUACAUGCAUAUAUAUAUUUGAGCCAGUUUGGUGUCAACUCACUGCCCCCACUAACUGCUCAAAUCCCAAAGCUAACCAUGCAGAUUUAAAAAAAAGUAUUUCCUAGACUUUGCCGAUCAGUGGACCACAGUCAAUCCUGCACAUCAGUGUCCUCAGACUUAGUCUUAAAAGCUUGUUCUGUUUGGUUCUGCAGAUUCAUUCAUCAGUGGUCAUCAGGCCACAUUUUGAAGGACUUCUGAAUUCAGGAUCACAAGUCCUAAUCUGUGGGAGCCAAGCUAAACAGUAUCUCUUUUGAUAAUGCUGUUCACUUCACAAGUGCGUUAUUCCAGGUCAUAAUCCUGUAUUUUUAUAUUUACUAUACACUUUUUUAAAGCUCACUUAAAAUUCACAAAUCUUUUUAGAAACUGUACAAGUAUAAUGAGAUUUUUAAAAAUGCUUUUGAGAUAAUCCUUUAUGCUAAUUAGAGUCAAGCUGUAUCCAAGCAUAUGUGUAUUUUCUUUGUUUUCUACAGACUGGUUUGUUUCUGCUGAUAACAAGAGGCUGAAUGUGUUCUUAAAACUAGCACAAACAGAUUUAAUCUAUUAGGAUUAUGCUGUUUGCAAUUGUCUGUAGGACAGCAUUCCAGCGUUCGGGACAAAAGCAAAAAUAUGAGCCUCGAGAUUUAUUAAAAACACAUCUAAUUGGUUAAAUCUCUCACAAAACCUCAGAAAUUGAGAAAAGAGAAACAUAUUGUAUGCUUGCCAUUUUUUAGAUGAACACAUUUCUCUAUGUAAUGUUUCUCGAAAACUGUUAAAAUGUAAGUAAGGGUGGGCCAAACAAGGUGGCCUGAAGACCAUAUGAGGGUCUUGCAAAYGGUUGCUGUCCUCUGCUGUCCCAGGUGAUAACCCCUUCCCUUCCCCCCUUUUCUCCUYCUCAUCCUGAUCCCCAUUGUACUUCCCUUUGCAGCUGUGGGCCUCUGUAAUGCCAGCAUCCAAGUCUCUGGUGCCAGUCAUUGAAAACCAGGCUGAUGCCAAGGAAAGGAAGGUUUUGGUAUAGGAAGUUUGCCCAAACUGCAGACUGAAACUUAGGCAUGCUGUGCUGGGUGCCGGCAGGAUUUGAGGACAUUAGGCGGUGAGUUGGGCCGCUCUUCAGGUUGCUUUUGUUACUACAAAAAUGAUUCCUUAUCACUCCUAAAGAAAGAUGAUGGACAGGACUGAAGCACAUCAUUGAAUGGGAUCAGCCCUUAGGCUGCUGCUUAAUUAUUCUGAUACUUUGUAAAUUCCAUUCAUUCCAGCAAUAAAGACUUUAAAUGCAAAUCAAAGAGAGGAAUUAAUAUAAAAUAUAGGUGACACAUCAUUAAUUCCUUGAAAGCAGUAUUUUAUUUAAAAGUAUGUCCARCAUGUAGGUAAAAUAUAGCACAGAAAGUUUUAAAGCAUCCUAAAACAUGGGGUUUAAAGUGACCCUGUAGCGUGUACACAUUUACAUUUGUUUCAAUAAUAAAAAUAAGUUUCAAUAAUAAAAAUAAUAUGACCAUUAUUGCAAUGAAUUCUGAGUGCUGUUUACUAUGAUACAAAUAAUCCCUAGCAAAAAGUUGAGUGAGGAAUAGUUAUAAAAAGGAAGCAGGCAUCAAAUGCAAAACUUUUGUAUACAUUUUGUUUAAAAAAUCCAAUAAACUGUAAUGAAAAAACUUGAAAUUAAUACUUGCAAAACAUGACUGAGUAUUUCUUAGAAUGUUUAGUCCUUUAAAUAUAUGAAUUAAUGCAGGUCUCUAUUUUUAAGUUUAGUUUAAAGAUGCUUUGAGGAGACACAUGAAAUACUGCAAGCCUGUUAUUAUUUAUUCCAGACUUAUGAAACGAUUUUUUAAAUGUAAAGCACCAUUUUAUUAAUGUGAGAACAAAGAAAAUUCACUAWUUACCCUGCAAAUCAAACAUUGGCAAAUAGCUAAAAUUAAAUAAGAUUCAAGUCUGAUCUUUUCACAAAACUAACUUAUUUUGCUUGCAAAUUACAGCAUAUGAAAUGCUAUUCUAACAUUUUAGAUAGGAAAAAGACAGGAAGGUUGGUUUUACUUAGGUGAAGAAUAGCUAUUGCUUUUUGUAAUCUUCUGUUGCUUUCCCAGGAUUUGAACUGGACAAACUUGUACAAUACCUAUGUUUUUUAAGGUUCUUAAUUUAAGGCUAAACUUUUCAGGAUGUAGUAAUGAUUCAUGGAAAUCAUGUAGCCUGCCAAGAGAUUUGCCACUAUUURUACUUUUGCCAUACAUCCCGUUUUCAAACAAAAAUACCCUUUGAUUAAAAAUUCACUUUUUCUAUUUUGUUCCCUUUCAAAAUCAAACCUUCCUGCAUGCAGGCUGGUGAAGCAUCCUGCAGUAGGCACUGCAUCCUCAAUUAGGGGAGUUAAAAGAAACAGAUGAAUUUCCAGAAGGCAGUUAUCUUCUCACAAGAAGUUUCCCUCACAGAUAACACACGUCUGAAGCACUUCAGCUCAGGAAGGGGCUAUACUGCAGCCACUGCAAUCUAGCUAGACUUUCUUGACUUACUUCCUUCUCUCUUUUUAGCCGUGCAGCCAAAGAUACUGCCUUCAUUGCAACUUAAGUUCCUAUUAGUGUUAAUUGAAGUAUAAGCCACUUUUCACCCCAUGCUGAGAAAUUACAAWAUGUUGAGUCUGCUACCCACUUUACAGAUGGAUAAAUUGCAGCUCAGUCUUGUUAAAUACUGCUCUUCCUACAGAAAAUGAACCUGCUCAAAACCCCUUGAACAGUAAGAGUCAAUCCACAACUUAUUCUGCCCUCCAGGUGUGUCAAACAGCACCCUAGAUAAGAAAAAAGCAAAUGUAUGUAAUAAGGUGUCCAGAGCAAUCUCUCAAAUUUGGAGAUUGUCCUUGAGACAAUGUGGGUACAGUGACUCAGCGGAACAGAUCCUAUUUCAGGGUUGCAAUCUAAAGAGAUAGAAUUAAAUUGCAACAAAGCAUUUUGAAAAGGGAUUUUUUGUGGCUUUCAGCUAGCAGACUUAAAACUCCUGAUACCAAGCUUGAUCCAAGUAACUUCAAAAGAAUUUGCACUGAGCUUUGCAUUUCCCCCCAUGGCUAACAUACCUCUGCAUUUAUUAAUUGUUAACCACCAGCACACCAAAUUGCAAACCUCAGCUAUGAAACAUCAAUUAUAGAACUAUUUGACUGGAAUCAAAAGGAUUUGCUUACAUAAACCCUACCAUCCAGUGAAAGAAAAAUCAAGACAGGAGCAUUGAAUUUGUUUUUCUUUGCAGCACUUGUCACUAAACUUUUCCUGGAUAUUAUCUGUUUGAAGUGUUUCCUGCUAAAUGCCAGCUCAUUCCUUAUGCUAAUAUAAAUAGCUUUUGCUCCAGCAUUAUAUUCCUCCUUAAUACCAUAGAAAGGAGUGGUAUUAUUUCAGUAUUUCAGUUCCUGGAGAAUGAAUAGCUCUAGYUCUGGAAGAAAACAAUCUGAAACACAGGUGCAAUCCUUUUUUAAAAAAAAGGAUCUAAGUAAAAUAAAAUACACAAUCAAGCAGAUUAAACACCAUAAUUAUAGUGAUACAUUUUUACAUUUCUGUAGACUUUGUAAGAGGCACUGGCCACUCUAAAGUCCUGUAGAUAAAGUUGUUAUUAUUAACGCAGUUAAUCCCCUUCUUGGUAACCCUGGCACCAGGACAGACUGAGUUGGCUAUAAGCUAWUUUUUUUUUCUUGAAAGUGAGUUAUAUAGACUUUGUCUAUAYGUGGAUUCAAACUACUGAUACUCGUGAUUCCUGUAGACCUUUAAUCUCUACUAAUACACCUUUCGGCAUUGUACUCUUUCUGGUGGUUAGUUAUUUGAUACACCUUGUGAGAAAUGCUGCCUCUCACAGGAGCUGCUGGCUUGUCCCUUUAGUCCCUUCUCAGACAUGAAAGCCAAACAAGUAAUUCCCUCCUUAGCGAACAGAAAAGCUUCUCAUCUUGCUCCUGGCAGCUGAGUUUCAGUUUGUAAUGUGCCCUCUAAGACAGGGGAUAAGGACCAGUSAUGGUCAACACCUGAUACCCUUCAUGGCCCU